rnacentral:ncRNA from 2 species
GAACGCUUGACGGGGUGCCGUUACCGACGGCUGAGAUCAUGUGCCCAAGCAUGGAUCCCGUUGAACCUGAACUGGCUAGGACCAGCGUAGGAUCAAGCGACACGCAGAG